AUUUCCAUAGCUCCUCCAGUGGCCUCUGUGCAGCAUUUCGGAUGGCGUCCUCAGAGAGCAUACGGAUUUCUUCAUGGACAUCCUCAAUGCUUUUGGAAGCAUCAACCACCUAAUACCACAGAGGAGACAGCAGAAAAAGGAUCAUUAUACCGCGUUCCUUCUAUCCCUAGUUCAUGUGGUGACAUCAGACAGGGCACGGAAGCAGCACUUUCUGGAGACAACACUGGCGCAUGAGGGAUGGACUAUUCAGGCCGGGUUUGAAGUCUGGGAACCUUCGGCAACAGUCACAAAGUGGAUUGUGCAGACAAAGCCAGAGCCAUUCUGGCUAUGUGCACAAAGGCAGGAGCAAGCAAUAGAGAAGGGGCUCAUGUUGGCCUUCAUGCAAGGAAUGAGAUGGAAGUUGAAGUAUGGAGUGGAGGAAACAGGACCAGAGAGAAGCCUAGUAUGACACGUCCGUGCUCCUGGAAAUGGCCAUGUAAGGCCCACAGGGCUAAGAAAUCAGCAGAGUACAACUGCAGGUGGUAGUGAUGGAGAAGGUGCCUACUGUAUGGCUGAGACCAGCAGGAAGAAGUCACAGUAUGAAGUAAAAGUAAGCUACACCUGAAUGCGAACCUGGCAAACCCCAGAUUCUGCAGUACUUCUUAAGAACAAUCCAACUGUCCACAGUACACUGAAGAGCCAUUCCUAUGGUAAAGUGUGCGGCAGUUUGUAAGACCGUGUUCUGAAUGGUGAUACCCCAUGACUAAAGGCUUAUUCAGGAUAAGGUACAGUACAGAAGUCUGCUGGAGCCCACCACUACUACCACCAUAAAGUCGGAUGGCAGAGAACCAGAGGAGCUUCACAGGACUUCACAGUCGGGAAACCAAACAAACUGGACCAGCUGUGCUGAAGUCAGCAGAGGGCGGACUACCACAGAGCUUCUCAAUAGCAGCUUAGAGUUCCAGGCCUCACCUUCCAAUUGAGGUUUUUAUCGCUCAUGAGCUGCCGGAAACACAGCAGGACCUGCUCCUGGAAAGUCCCGGUCUCAUAUCGCUCAAGGCCAAACUCUCCCCGUGCAGCAGCAUCCAGCAAUUGUAACUGAAGGAACAGGAUCAGGUCAGGUUUGGGAAGGCCCACGUCUGGUUGUUUGCACCAAUCCAGGGAAAAAUUCUGCCAAGAGAAAGCAAACUGAGUGGGAUAUAGUCUUUUGCUUCAUGCUGGAAAUAAAGAGUAAACAGGAUGGCACCACAGCUCUGUGCCCUGCGGUCUGUCUACUAUGGAUCUUGUCUCAGGCCUGGCAUAUGUAGAUAUCCCAGUGGUCCAUUCAACCCCAAAGUCUGCAAUGAAAAGCAGUUUGUUCCAGAGACAGGAGAAGUUUUUGCCAUAGUAUUGUAUCUCAAUAAACACUGAGGGAAACUAACAAUCCUGGAAACCCACUCCAUGCCUGCCUACUAGUUCUUUACUUACAUUUUCCUCCUUCAUCAACUUGCUAAAAAUAUCAUUUUCAGAAGAAAAGUAGGGCUAGAAAGGACACCCUGUCAUCCAGAAAACACGCUCAAGAAGUAACCCCAGAGGCCCUUCCAGAGGGCCAUGUGCCAACUAAUAUGUAUACAGACAAAAUACUCCAUUGGGGAAUCACUCUAACAUAUGUGGAAGAAACAGAAUUUAAAAGAUUAUCUCUUGGCAAUCUGUCACCCUCAAGAGUUAUAUAAAGAGAUUAUCGGA